UUCUGGGAUUAUUUUGAAUUU
rnacentral:piRNA from 1 species